rnacentral:rRNA from 1 species
GACGAACGCUGGCGGCGUGCUUAACACAUGCAAGUCGAACGGAAAGGCCCCUUUGGGGGUACUCGAGUGGCGAACGGGUGAGUAACACGUGAGUAACCUGCCCUUGACUUCGGGAUAACUUCAGGCAACUGGGGCUAAUACCGGAUAGGAAUCCUUGCUGCAUGGUGGGGGUUGGAAAGCUUCGGCGGUUUUGGAUGGACUCGCGGCUUAUCAGCUUGUUGGUGGGGUAGUGGCUUACCAAGGCGUUGACGGGUAGCCGGCCUGAGAGGGCGACAGGCAACAUUGGGACUGAGAUACGGCCAAGAAUCCUGCGGGAGGCAGCAGUGGGGAAUAUUGGACAGUAGGCGGAAGCCUGAUGCAGAGACGCCGCAUGCGGAAGGUCGGCCUUCGGGUUGUAAACCGCUUACACCAGGAGCGAAGCCUUUGGUCAAGAUACCUGCAGAAGAAGCACCGGCUAACUAAUU